rnacentral:rRNA from 1 species
GUGCAGAUGGAUGAGCUCGCGUCGGAUUAGCUUGUUGGUGAGGUAAAGGCUCACCAAGGCGACGAUCCGUAGCUGGUCUGAGAGGAUGAUCAGCCACACCGGGACUGGGACACGGCCCGGACUCCUACGGGAGGCAGCAGUGGGGAAUCUUGGACAAUGGGGGCAACCCUGAUCCAGCCAUGCCGCGUGUGUGAAGAAGGCCCUAGGGUUGUAAAGCACUUUCAGUAGGGAGGAAGGCUUGAUCUUAAUACGGUCAAGUACUUG